AUGGCUCGUGUUCAUCGUCAUAACGAUGAUGAUGAUUUCAUGGAUCCACCACAGCAUAAUCGGGCAACUGGACGGAGAAAAGAGGGCGAUGAGAAGAAGAAACGUAUUCGCAACAGAGCCUCCCAAGAACGACUGACUACAUUGACUGACAGAUUUACCAACGAUCAGAAGGGAGCUGCUGCUGAGAUGGGUAUGCAGGUUCUGAUGAAUGUUCGGUGCACGAAUCUUGUCAACCUUGUAUGCGACUGGCUUGGUGAGAUUUACGACCCCGCCUCCAGGGAAUUUGUGAUUCCGGGACGUGGAAGACUACCGUUGAACGAGGAAUAUGUGUUCUGCACUUUGGGUGUGCCUUGUGGACAAAUCAAAGACCCGUACGAGGCCAUGACAACCCAUGGAAAUGUUUUUAAGAUGAAGCUACUCAUGUACCUCAUCUCAGCUGUUUUCGCGCUGACCACUUCUCUUCACCCAAGCAAUAAAUGCUUCCCCAUCCUGGCAAAACUGGAAGAUGUGAAGAACAUGAAUUGGUGUAAGUUCAUAGCUGACUUCCUGCACGAUGCAUUCUCAAACAAGAUGUACCAAAAGGGUCGUCGACUGCAUUUAAUGCUCAUGUACGUCGACUGUCUUGAUCUGUCCACAGUGGAUUUCACUGGGACAGGAGGCCCGCCGCCUACGCACAAGUUUGCUGUUUCUGCGUGGACUAUCAACGCUGUCAAGACUGUGCUUGCUGCAGACAGGCUGAUGGCCAAGCAUGCUAUAGGCUACAGCGUGUUUGGGGGGCCUCAAAACUUUGGAAAGUGGAUGGACGUGCACUCAGCUCCGUCUUACCCUACUGAGGCGAGGGCACAUGUUGAGCAUCUAAUUGGGCAGUUUGCAUCCGGAAUGACCGGCUUACUUAGGAAGUUGAUUGAGGGGUGGACGUCUCUUAGUGGCUCUGACAGUGACGCGGUUGCGAGGCAGUUUAUUUCAUUUGUCCCAGAACGGACACAUCGGCCAACUGGUUGUCGUGGCCGGUAUGACUACAACAGUUCCCAAGAGCUUGCUGACACACAAGAUGAACUAGAUGGAGAUGCUGGUCUCAGCAAGGAUGACGACGAUGACAUGGAGAACGCGGAAGAGGACACCGAUGAUGAUGAACAUGCUGAAGUUCGUGUAGGUGCUAACAAGGGGAAGGAUGCACCAGAUGUCCCCCCCACCGGAGAAAGUCAAAGAACAUACGGCUGUGGGAGGCGAGGGGGUGUUGCCAUCAAAGAGGGGGAGGUCUCCAGAGGAUGUUGGGCAGGGUUCUCCUGGCAAGAGGCUAGAACAACGGGCAUCCAUACAUCGGGGAGUGACGAGUCGGUGUCUGCCAGGACAGCUGAAAUAUUGCCCACUCUUCUGGCAAUGAAGGAUGCUGCUGUGAGCCAUGCCACCCCACCAGGAAGUGUUGAAGUGGAUGCCCCCGAGACCAACCUAAGCAAGGAAGAUUCCCGAUCGUCUGACACUGAUUCCAAGCGCGUGCGUGGUGGCACUCCUGUGCCCACGAUAGAAGUUGCUGAGGCGGCAGUUCAUAAUGAUAUGCCAUCUGCAGGUGAUAGUCUUGGCACAACAGCUCCAUCUCCUGGCGGUGCAGAUAUUGCUCAGGCCACUGUUCCGCGUGCUGGUCUUCCACCUAGGCGUCGUAGCCCCCGCAAGCAAUCAAUAGUCGUAUCCAACGCACCAGCUGCAGCUAGGAGCAGCAGAGAUGAGUCUGGUUACGUCCCUGCGUCCACACUGUUCCCGCCAACUGCCAAAAGCAAUGUUAUGGAGAAACUAGAAGACCAGAGUACAACUGAUGCAGGUGCCAAGCCAGGCACGAGUGAUGAAGGUGAACGUCUGGAGCAGACCGCGCCUUUACCCGCAGUGGAAAUCCCCAGCUUAAAUCUGCGCACUUCCAAACUCUCAAUCAACAUCGGUGUCCCCUACAGCCCCAACAAGAGGAUUGUCAACAAAUCUACGCCCGUCACCACUGAUAGCACACCCCACCCUAUUAACAAGCCUGUUGAUUCUGCAACGGCUGAUUCAGAUAUGUUUGUUGAUCUUUCACCAUUGGAUUCUGCCCCGCAAGUUGUUCGCGGUCCGGCCAGUAGGCAUGAGAGGCACCCAAUGGCCUUCACCCCACCGAGCUUCAGCCUUGGCGUUAGUCAAGAUCAACCAGUGGCUCAAGAUUCUAUGCCAGUUGCCUUUGCUUUUCCAGGAGGCAUGCCUGCAAUGAUGGCGCAGCCAAUGGUUGAGGGCAGGAAGGUUGUCAAGUUCGUUGAGCCGAUCGUCCAAGGUAUCCUAAACCACAUUUUCAUCCUUGCAGGCACCCCUGAGGAGAUUUUGCCGUCUCUUGAUGAAGCUUACCGUAGGAUUGAGGAGGCAGCAUUGCAGAGGAGGUCCUCACGAGGUCAGGGGCAAUCAAGUUUCAAUGUGCCUGCAGAUACGGUAUCUGAGGAUACCAUUAGGAGUGCCACCCCUGGUUCUGUGAGGCAGCAGAGGGUAGUUCACCCACCCCCCGCGGAAGACUACGAGCCUGAAGUCAGGGCCACGAAGGAACAAAUCCAACUGUAUGAUAUUGUCAAGCGAUUUUGUAAUGCGAGGGCCAGCAGCAAGCACAUGAAGGAACUGAAAGCGUAA
rnacentral:rRNA from 1 species